GGAGGCGCAGAAGCAGCUCGAGCUUGAGCUCGACCGCCUCUAUCGCCUCAACCAAAUCAACUUAGCUUGCAUGAUGACAUCUCGUCUUCGAUCACUGAGAGACAAGGAAGAAGAGAAGAAGAUGAAAAUGAACAAGCAUAUAUUUAUAUUCAAGGCGGGGAGAGUCUGAGUCCACAAGAUGCUUGAUUUCAAUUUCGAAUCAAUCUAUUUGUUGUGUUGAGUAAUUGAGUUUUUCUUUUCUUGUCUUGUUUCAUUUGAGAAAUGAAAUUCAAUUUUCACUGUCA